rnacentral:snoRNA from 1 species
GACCUCCUGGUGCUUACCAUAGGCUGUGUUCUUUCACUGACUAUAUAGAUAAAGAGGAGGAAAUGUAAACCUACCCCAUAUAUACUUCAGUUGAGACCCUGUGGCUGAUCUUUUUUGUGAAUGGGAAGAUCAGA